rnacentral:rRNA from 2 species
UGGGGAAUAUUGCACAAUGGGCGCAAGCCUGAUGCAGCCAUGCCGCGUGUAUGAAGAAGGCCUUCGGGUUGUAAAGUACUUUCAGCGGGGAGGAAGGGAGUAAAGUUAAUACCUUUGCUCAUUGACGUUACCCGCAGAAGAAGCACCGGCUAACUCCGUGCCAGCAGCCGCGGUAAUACGGAGGGUGCAAGCGUUAAUCGGAAUUACUGGGCGUAAAGCGAACGCAGGCGGUUUGUUAAGUCAGAUGUGAAAUCCCCGGGCUCAACCUGGGAACUGCAUCUGAUACUGGCAAGCUUGAGUCUCGUAGAGGGGGGUAGAAUUCCAGGUGUAGCGGUGAAAUGCGUAGAGAUCUGGAGGAAUACCGGUGGCGAAGGCGGCCCCCUGGACGAAGACUGACGCUCAGGUGCGAAAGCGUGGGGAGCAAACAGG